rnacentral:rRNA from 1 species
UCUUAGUGGCGGACGGGUGAGUAACGCGUGGGCAACCUGCCCUGUACCGGGGGAUAACACUUAGAAAUAGGUGCUAAUACCGCAUAAUAGGGAAUACCGCAUGGUAAUCCUUUGAAAACUCCGGUGGUACAGGAUGGGCCCGCGUCUGACUUAGCCAGUUGGCGGGGUAACGGCCCACCAAAGCGACGAUCAGCAGCCGGCCUGAGAGGGUGGACGGCCACACUGGGACUGAGACACGGCCCAGACUCCUACGGGAGGCAGCAG